rnacentral:lncRNA from 1 species
UUUCUCAUUUGCCCUCCAAGCCCCAAAUCCUGUCAGUCCACGGCCUUGAUGGAGCGGCCCCCGUGGGACGACCCUGUUGAUUGUGCUAGCGGAUGUUGUCUCCAUUCUGGAUCUGGGAAAAACUGUGGAGUGAAAGCCGGACCUGUUAGGGUUGGGACCUGAAAGCGGACUUUUUCGCUCUCAGACGGGCCCCAGGAAUUUCAUGUUUAACAGAGGUGUCUUCAAGGAGAUGAAACAAUUCAGAAUGACCUAGGCAAUGGGGUAAUUCCUAAGAUGCUUGACUCAGUGAUGCAGAACCUUUCAGAGUUAGCUGGAAGCCACAGCCCUGCCUCUUGAUGCAGCCUGGAUCCAGCCGGUGUGAAGAGGAGACCCCUUCCCUCUUGUGGGGUUUGGAUCCUGUGUUUCUAGCCUUUGCAAAACUCUACAUCAGGGAUAUCCUGGACAUGAAGGAGUCCCGCCAGGUGCCAGGUGUAUUUUUGUACAAUGGACAUCCAAUAAAACAGGUAGAUGUCUUGGGAACUGUCAUUGGAGUGAGAGAAAGAGAUGCUUUCUACAGUUAUGGAGUGGAUGACAGCACUGGAGUUAUAAACUGCAUCUGCUGGAAAAAGUUGAAUACUGAGUCUGUAUCAGCUGCUCCAAGUGCAGCAAGAGAGCUCAGCUUAACCUCACAACUUAAGAAGCUACAAGAGACCAUUGAGCAGAAAACAAAGAUAGAGAUCGGGGACACGAUCCGAGUCAGAGGCAGUAUCCGCACAUACAGAGAAGAGCGAGAGAUUCAUGCCACCACUUACUAUAAAGUGGACGACCCAGUGUGGAACAUUCAAAUUGCAAGGAUGCUUGAGCUGCCCACUAUCUACAGGAAAGUUUAUGACCAGCCUUUUCACAGCUCAGCCCUAGAGAAAGAAGAGGCACUAAGCAAUCCAGGCGCCCUGGACCUCCCCAGUCUCACGAGUUUGCUGAGUGAAAAAGCCAAAGAAUUCCUCAUGGAGAACAGAGUGCAGAGCUUUUACCAGCAGGAGCUGGAAAUGGUGGAGUCUUUGCUGUCCCUUGCCAAUCAGCCUGUGAUUCACAGUGCCUCCUCCGACCAAGUGAAUUUUAAGAAGGACACCACUUCCAAGGCAAUUCAUAGUAUAUUUAAGAAUGCUAUACAACUGCUGCAGGAAAAAGGACUUGUUUUCCAGAAAGAUGAUGGUUUUGAUAACCUAUACUAUGUAACCAGAGAAGACAAAGACCUGCACAGAAAGAUCCACCGGAUCAUUCAGCAGGACUGCCAGAAACCAAAUCACAUGGAGAAGGGCUGUCACUUCCUGCACAUCUUGGCCUGUGCUCGCCUGAGCAUCCGCCCGGGCCUGAGCGAGGCUGUGCUGCAGCAAGUUCUGGAGCUCCUGGAGGACCAGAGUGACAUUGUCAGCACAAUGGAGCACUACUACACAGCGUUCUGAGCAGAGACACGCAGACCAGCUGAGGAGGACAAAGAUAAGCUAAACACCAGCUCCCCUCGCUGGUGGCUUCUCAGGUUUUAUUAGCACUUCCAGAAGACUUUGCCAUCCACAGAAGACGAGUUAUCCGAGAGCCAUGAUGAAUCUCUUCCUCACAAACUCACAGGCUGUCUUGAUCCAUCAUCAGAGAGGACCUGGAGCUGGCCAGCACCCUCCCAAGUUCGGGAGCUCAAUAUGGAGGGCCCGUUCCAGGUCUACCUCUCAUCCCUUCAGGGAAUAAUCCUUGCUCAUGGAGGUAGUGCCCUGUCCUCCCAUUUUCCCAUCAGCUGAGCAACAUUACCAGGUGCACCUUCCCCCAGGACUCCUGCUCCAACAUUCACAAAGGUUUUCUGUCAUCUUCUCUGACCAAGAAGCUCUGGCCUGGUGCCAAGAUCUCUCACAGUCUGAGCCCCCUAGGCCCAUCCAUCUUUUUUUUUCUUUGUCCCGUGCCAUCGUUUGGUGUCCUAGCGCCCUUCCCCAGGAAGGUUGGAGGAAUAGUGGGUUACUCUGUAUGGAGCAAAUAUGUGAAUAAAUAAA